CAGUCGCCGCGGGAAUACGAAGGGGGCUAGCGUUGUUCGGAAUUACUGGGCGUAAAGGGCGCGUAGGCGGCCAUUCAAGUUAGAUGUGAAAGCCCUGGGCUCAACCUAGGAAUUGCAUUUGAUACUGUUUGGCUUGAGUUCGGGAGAGGUGAGUGGAAUUCCAAGUGUAGAGGUGAAAUUCGUAGAUAUUUGGAAGAACACCAGUGGCGAAGGCGGCUCACUGGACCGACACUGACGCUGAGGCGCGAAAGCGUGGGGAGCAAACAGGAUUAGAGACCCCAGUAGUCCCUGUCUCUUAUAC
rnacentral:rRNA from 1 species